GCUUGGGGGCGGUAGAGGGAGACGGAACUGCCGGUGUAGGGGUGAAAUCCGUAGAUAUCGGCAGGAACGCCGGUGGGGAAGCCGGUCUCCUGGGCCGACCCCGACGCUGAGGCCCGAAAGCCAGGGGAGCAAACCGGAUUAGAUACCCGGGUAGUCCUGGCUGUAAACGAUGCCCACUAGGUGUGGGGGGAUAAUCCCUCCGUGCUGAAGCUAACGCGUUAAGUGGGCCGCCUGGGGAGUACGCCCGCAAGGGUGAAACUCAAAGGAAUUGACGGGGGCCCGCACAAGCGGUGGAGCGUGUGGUUUAAUUGGAUGCUAAGCCAAGAACCUUACCAGGGCUUGACAUGCCGGUGGUACCUCCCCGAAAGGGGUAGGGACCCAGUCCUUCGGGACUGGGAGCCGGCACAGGUGGUGCACGGCCGUCGUCAGCUCGUGCCGUGAGGUGUUGGGUUAAGUCCCGCAACGAGCGCAACCCCUGCCCCUAGUUGCCAGCGGUUCGGCCGGGCACUCUAGGGGGACUGCCGGCGACGAGCCGGAGGAAGGAGGGGAUGACGUCAGGUACUCGUGCCCCUUAUGCCCUGGGCGACACACGCGCUACAAUGGGCGGUACAAUGGGUUGCGACCCCGCGAGGGGGAGCCAAUCCCCAAAGCCGCCCUCAGUUCGGAUCGCAGGCUGCAACCCGCCUGCGUGAAGCCGGAAUCGCUAGUAAUCGCGGAUCAGCCAUGCCGCGGUGAAUACGUUCCCGGGCCUUGUACACACCGCCCGCCACGCCACCCGAGUCGGGGGCUCCCGAAGACACCUGCCCCAACCCGAAAGGGAGGGGGGGUGUCGAGGGAGAACCUGGCGAGGGGGGCGAAGUCGUAACAAGGU
rnacentral:rRNA from 1 species